UAGUACAAUGAAGAAGCAAUGCAUUCAGUGUAAGAAAACAUCUUCUCAGCCUGCCUUUAGCACAAAUUCAAACAUACUUUCAAUGUGUACAUCUGUGAAGAAUGAGCCCAUCAAAAUCCACUGAAGUUUGGAGGACGCUGGACACUGAUGUUAAAGAGGAUUACACUAAAGCAGACAUCCUGAGUCGUCAGUAAAAGCAAAGCAGGAAACUACAGAAAGCAUUUGUAAAAAUGUGAGAUUUGUCUACUUUGAUUUCAGGACUUAACUGUAUUCACAGCCUCCCCCUGCAAGGCAUAGCCGGGUUUACCCACAUCUUCGGUCCUGCCCUAGAUUCCACUUGCUGGGGAGCUCCUUAUUUCCUGUGAGUGUGAGGACUGCUGUGUUCCAAUUGUUUGGAAUGAUUAGACUGAAGAAAACUCUUAUUUUCCCACCUCUUGGGCACUUUCUCUUCUAAAGUGAAAACUUUGUGUUUGCUGUUAUGCAAAUUAAAAAAAGGUUGGAAGGCAGCCCAUUAUGGGCUACACAGAAGUUAUCUGAGGUAUUUUCUAAAAACAAAGCAGAAUAUUCUAGAAAAAACACAGAAUGACCCACUCAGCCCUAUACUAUCUGAGAAAAUAUACUUAGCUAUCAAUGUUCAAAUAAUAUAGAUGCCACUCCUCAAACUGCUUCUUUGAAACCCCCAUGAAACCCGACAUCCCA
rnacentral:lncRNA from 1 species